UACGUAGGGUCCGAGCGUUGUCCGGAAUUACUGGGCGUAAAGAGCUCGUAGGUGGUUUGUCGCGUUGUUCGUGAAAACUCACAGCUCAACUGUGGGCGUGCGGGCGAUACGGGCAGACUGGAGUACUGCAGGGGAGACUGGAAUUCCUGGUGUAGCAGUGAAAUGCGUAGAUAUCAGGAGGAACACCGAUGGCGAAGGCAGGUCUCUGGGCUGACACUGACGCUCAUGCACGAAAGCGUGGGGAGCAAACAGG
rnacentral:rRNA from 1 species